UACGUAGGGGGCGAGCGUUGUCCGGAAUCAUUGGGCGUAAAGAGCUCGUAGGCGGCUUGGCAAGUCGGAUGUGAAAACUCCAGGCUCAACCUGGAGCCGCCAUUCGAUACUGCUAUGGCUAGAGUCCGGUAGGGGAGUGUGGAAUUCCCGGUGUAGCGGUGAAAUGCGCAGAUAUCGGGAAGAACACCCGUGGCGAAGGCGGCUCUCUGGAACGCAACUGACGCUGAGACGCGAAAGCGUGGGGAGCAAACAGG
rnacentral:rRNA from 1 species